rnacentral:rRNA from 1 species
GGUGAACGCUGGCGGCGUGCCUAAGACAUGCAAGUCGAGCGGGGCAGGUUUAUACCUGUUCAGCGGCGGACGGGUGAGUAACGCGUGGGUGACCUACCCGGAAGAGGCGGACAACCUGGGGAAACCCAGGCUAAUCCGCCAUGUGGUCCUGUCCUGUGGGGCAGGACUAAAGGGGCGACCCGCUUCCGGAUGGGCCCGCGUCCCAUCAGCUAGUUGGUGGGGUAAAGGCCCACCAAGGCGACGACGGGUAGCCGGUCUGAGAGGAUGGCCGGCCACAGGGGCACGGAGACACGGGCCCCACUCCUACGGGAGGCAGCAGUUAGGAAUCUUCCGCAAUGGACGGAAGUCUGACGGAGCGACGCCGCUUGGAGGAGGAAGCCCUUCGGGGUGUAAACUCCUGAACUGGGGACGAAAGCCCCGUGUAGGGGGAUGACGGUACCCAGGUAAUAGCGCCGGCCAACUCCGUG